AAGAGUUUGAUCAUGGCUCAGAUUGAACGCUGGCGGCAGGCCUAACACAUGCAAGUCGAACGGUAACAGGAAGCAGCUUGCUGCUUCGCUGACGAGUGGCGGACGGGUGAGUAAUGUCUGGGAAACUGCCUGAUGGAGGGGGAUAACUACUGGAAACGGUGGCUAAUACCGCAUAACGUCGCAAGACCAAAGAGGGGGACCUUCGGGCCUCUUGCCAUCAGAUGUGCCCAGAUGGGAUUAGCUUGUUGGUGAGGUAACGGCUCACCAAGGCGACGAUCCCUAGCUGGUCUGAGAGGAUGACCAGCCACACUGGAACUGAGACACGGUCCAGACUCCUACGGGAGGCAGCAGUGGGGAAUAUUGCACAAUGGGCGCAAGCCUGAUGCAGCCAUGCCGCGUGUAUGAAGAAGGCCUUCGGGUUGUAAAGUACUUUCAGCGGGGAGGAAGGUGUUGUGGUUAAUAACCGCAGCAAUUGACGUUACCCGCAGAAGAAGCACCGGCUAACUCCGUGCCAGCAGCCGCGGUAAUACGGAGGGUGCAAGCGUUAAUCGGAAUUACUGGGCGUAAAGCGCACGCAGGCGGUCUGUCAAGUCGGAUGUGAAAUCCCCGGGCUCAACCUGGGAACUGCAUUCGAAACUGGCAGGCUUGAGUCUUGUAGAGGGGGGUAGAAUUCCAGGUGUAGCGGUGAAAUGCGUAGAGAUCUGGAGGAAUACCGGUGGCGAAGGCGGCCCCCUGGACAAAGACUGACGCUCAGGUGCGAAAGCGUGGGGAGCAAACAGGAUUAGAUACCCUGGUAGUCCACGCCGUAAACGAUGUCUACUUGGAGGUUGUGCCCUUGAGGCGUGGCUUCCGGAGCUAACGCGUUAAGUAGACCGCCUGGGGAGUACGGCCGCAAGGUUAAAACUCAAAUGAAUUGACGGGGGCCCGCACAAGCGGUGGAGCAUGUGGUUUAAUUCGAUGCAACGCGAAGAACCUUACCUGGUCUUGACAUCCACGGAAGUUUUCAGAGAUGAGAAUGUGCCUUCGGGAACCGUGAGACAGGUGCUGCAUGGCUGUCGUCAGCUCGUGUUGUGAAAUGUUGGGUUAAGUCCCGCAACGAGCGCAACCCUUAUCCUUUGUUGCCAGCGAUUAGGUCGGGAACUCAAAGGAGACUGCCAGUGAUAAACUGGAGGAAGGUGGGGAUGACGUCAAGUCAUCAUGGCCCUUACGACCAGGGCUACACACGUGCUACAAUGGCGCAUACAAAGAGAAGCGACCUCGCGAGAGCAAGCGGACCUCAUAAAGUGCGUCGUAGUCCGGAUUGGAGUCUGCAACUCGACUCCAUGAAGUCGGAAUCGCUAGUAAUCGUGGAUCAGAAUGCCACGGUGAAUACGUUCCCGGGCCUUGUACACACCGCCCGUCACACCAUGGGAGUGGGUUGCAAAAGAAGUAGGUAGCUUAACCUUCGGGAGGGCGCUUACCACUUUGUGAUUCAUGACUGGGGUGAAGUCGUAACAAGGUAACCGUAGGGGAACCUGCGGUUGGAUCACCUCCUUACCUUAAAGAA
rnacentral:rRNA from 1 species